UUCAUGCCAUACACCUCCAGCAACCUGAGAACAAGCUAUGUCAACAUCCUCCCAUGCAGAGAGGGAGGCUUGAUUUCAUUGGUCUGCAGCACUAGUGGCUGGGCAGUGAAAAUAGCCCAUUAUUCACCGGACAUGAAGAGGAAUCCAUCCUGCUCCACAGUCCACAGAAGAAAACUAGCCAACUGUGAAUGCCCUGUGAAGCUGGACCUCAACUAAUGUGAACAACAACGUUCCUCCUUGGAUCAGGUUUCAAAGGUGGAAGCCAUACUGUGCAGUUAUGCUUGCUCUGCCUUUUCUGUGAGCAUCUACCCUUCUGGAACUCACACUGUGAAUCAAUCACUGGGAGGAGUUAAGGAGAACUCAGUUGCAUGGCUAGGCCUCUACUGUGAGGUCCCUGGAGAUGAGAUAAAGACAGAAGACCCUGGUCUAAGAAGGAGCUGUGCCUAUCUCCCAUGGCUUGUUCUUCUCCAUCUUCAUAUUUCUAUGACACACUACAGCAACAGCCAGAAUCCCCUGCAUCCUGUGGAGUGGCUUCAGUGUUGGUGAUAAUAACAUUAAGUGGUACCAGCAGAUGAUGCAGGGGAGUCCUCCUCGGUUUGUCCUGCAUUACUACUCAGCCUCAGACAGGCGUCUGGGGCGUCGCGUUUCCAUUACAUUCUCGGAAUCCUCAGAGCCCUCAAAACUGCUAAAAACUUACACACUUCUGAGCUACAGGUGGAGGGUGAGGCUGUUAUCUGGGAAAACAGUGUUUCUCACAUUGAAAUAGGCAGAUGGGGGAAGUAGGCAUAAAUAGUAGCUUCUGCUAAAAAAAUCAUUCCUGGUAGAAUGCUUAUAGGAGCCAAAGGAAGGAGAGAAGGAGGUUGCCAACAUCACUGUCAAAAUAUCAGUUUUCAAGAGAGGAGAGACCCAAAAUGUUGGUGCUGGCAAUGACAGAGCAGUAGGUCUCCCACAAAGGUGCCUCCACCGGAUCAGGGCAAGCUGGGUGUGAGCAUCCAGUAGGGUGAUUACUCUGAGGCACACCAGACUUACCUGAUAGUCUUCAGAUACAUAUCCAG